rnacentral:rRNA from 1 species
GGCGGUGACGGAUUGGCUCGCGUCCGAUUAGCCAGUUGGCGGGGCAACGGCCCACCAAAGCGACGAUCGGUAGGGGUUCUGAGAGGAAGGUCCCCCACAAUGGAACUGAGACACGGUCCAUACUCCUACGGGAGGCAGCAGUGAGGAAUAUUGGUCAAUGGGCGGAAGCCUGAACCAGCCAUGCCGCGUGCAGGAAUAAGGCCCUAUGGGUUGUAAACUGCUUUUCCCGCGGAGCAAUAAGGAUGUUUUGGACAUCCGAUGAGAGUACGCGGGGAAUAAGCAUCGGCUAACUCCGUGCCAGCAGCCGCGGUAAUACGGAGGAUGCGAGCGUUAUCCGGAUUCAUUGGGUAUAAAGGGUGCGUAGGCGGCUCUGCAAGUCAGCGGUGAAAUGUCCGGGCCCAACCCGGAAGGUGCCGUUGAUACUGUGGAGCUGGAGUACGGACGCCGGCGGAGGAAUGAGUGGUGUAGCGGUGAAAUGCAUAGAUAUCACUCAGAACACCGAUUGCGAAGGCAUCCGCCGAGACCGAAACUGACGCUGAGGCACGAAAGCGUGGGGAUAGAACAGGAUUAGAUACCCUGGUAUUCCACGCCGUA